UACGUAGGUGGCAAGCGUUGUCCGGAUUUAUUGGGCUUAAAGGGUGCGUAGGCGGUCUAUUAAGUCAGUUGUGAAAUACGGCAGCUCAACUGUCGAGGUGCAAUUGAUACUGAUGGACUUGAGUACUGAUGAGGUAAGCGGAAUGGACGGUGUAGCGGUGAAAUGCUUAGAUAUCGUCCAGAACACCGAUAGCGAAGGCAGCUUACUAAGGAGUAACUGACGCUGAGGCACGAAAGUGUGGGGAUCAAACAGG
rnacentral:rRNA from 1 species